rnacentral:rRNA from 1 species
GACGAACGCUGGCGGCGUGCUUCAUACAUGCAAGUCGAACGCGAAUCGGUAGCUUGCUACCGAGGAAAGUGGCGGACGGGUGAGUAAUGUGUAGAGAAUCUGCCCUAGAGCGGGGGACAACAGCUGGAAACGGUUGCUAAUACCCCAUAUGAGCGUAUCUGAAAUGGUAUUCUUGAAAACUCCGGUGCUCUAGGAUGAGUCUGCAUCUGAUUAGCUAGUUGGGGGUGUAAUGGACCACCAAGGCGACGAUCAGUAGCUGGUUUGAGAGGAUGAUCAGCCACAAUGGGACUGAGACACGGCCCAU